rnacentral:rRNA from 1 species
GAUGAACGCUGGCGGCGUGCCUAAUACAUGCAAGUCGAACGCUGAAGGAGGAGCUUGCUCUUCUGGAUGAGUUGCGAACGGGUGAGUAACACGUAGGUAACCUGCCUGGUAGCGGGGGAUAACUAUUGGAAACGAUAGCUAAUACCGCAUGACAACAGUUAUUGCAUGAUAACUGUUUAAAAGGGGCAACUGCUCCACUACCAAAUGGACCUGCGGUGUAUUAGCUAGUUGGUGAGGUAACGGCUCACUAAGGCGACGAUACACCGCCGGCCUGGGGGGGGGGUCCGCCAACCUGGGACUGGGACCCGGCCCAGGCUCCUACCGGAAGCAGCAGUAGGGAAUCCUCGGGAAUGGGCGGAAAUCUGACCGGAGAACGCCGCGUGAGUGGAGAAGGUUUUCGGGUCGGAAAGCUCUGUUUUAAGGGAAGAACGAGUGUGAGAGUGGAAAGUUCACACUGUGACGGUAUCUGACCAGAAAGGGACGGCUAACUACGUG